rnacentral:lncRNA from 1 species
UGAACCUUCCCCUAGUUUCUAACAUAAAAUGUGAUAUUUUCUACUGUCCGAAGGUUUAAUACCCUGGUUAUAUGUGACUAAUGUGGAUGAUGUUUUGUAAUGCGUAGAAAUUCAACAAAUAAACAAAUUUAAAAAACAAACAAAAAGAAUUUCUUCACAUUGGGUGCUUUUGAAAUAUGAUUAUACCUGAUAAAAAAACAGUAUAAGACUCUUGAUAUCCUUGUAUAAACGCACCUACAUGCCACAACAUGUGAAUUAAAACUAACAAAGCUAAUAAAACCCUGAGCUAAUUGUAUGGAAGAAGAACAUAGAAAAUAGAGUAUGUACGAAACAUGAUAUCACCACUUGAUAUCUUUGUCUAAGACCAUGCGUAGUCGAGUCAUGAUCUAAAAAUUGGGAUUAAUCGCCAAUUAAUUGACAAUUAAUUCCUAAUCUAGUAAUCAUGAUGUAAAAAUCGGGAUUAAUUGCCAAUUAAUUGAU